AACCCGCGUAUCGGUAUUAUUAUUAUUAUUUUUUUAAACUCUUAUAUAUAUUUUAACUGUUUCGUUAAAUUUGUGUGUAUUAUGUGUGUGAGUGCCGUAUACAAAUCAUUUUUUGUUGGACUUUUAUCUUUUAUCAAGGGCACUAUGAGAAAACCAAACGCUUUUAAAGUAUAAACUUCCAUAUGAUGCUACCUCUUCAAUUUUAAGUUUUGUGUUUGUCUCUUUUUGACUGUAUCCCUUUCUGAAGAAGGUCAUAGAAGACCGAAACGUCAAUAUAUGGACAAAAAAUUUUAAUCGCUUUUAAUACAAAGACCUAUAACCCAAGAACCAAAAGCUAAACAUAAAUAUAGAGAAG